rnacentral:rRNA from 1 species
GUGGGGAAUUUUGGACAAUGGGCGCAAGCCUGAUCCAGCAAUGCCGCGUGCAGGAAGAAGGCCUUCGGGUUGUAAACUGCUUUUGUACGGAACGAAAAGGCUCUGGCUAAUACCUGGAGCUCAUGACGGUACCGUAAGAAUAAGCACCGGCUAACUACGUGCCAGCAGCCGCGGUAAUACGUAGGGUGCGAGCGUUAAUCGGAAUUACUGGGCGUAAAGCGUGCGCAGGCGGUGCUGUAAGACAGGCGUGAAAUCCCCGGGCUCAACCUGGGAAUUGCGCUUGUGACUGCAGCGCUGGAGUGCGGCAGAGGGGGAUGGAAUUCCGCGUGUAGCAGUGAAAUGCGUAGAUAUGCGGAGGAACACCGAUGGCGAAGGCAAUCCCCUGGGCCUGCACUGACGCUCAUGCACGAAAGCGUGGGGAGCAAACAGGAUUAGAAACCCGAGUAGUCC